UACGUAGGUGGCGAGCGUUGUCCGGAUUUACUGGGCGUAAAGGGAGCGUAGGCGGACUUUUAAGUGAGAUGUGAAAUACCCGGGCUCAACUUGGGUGCUGCAUUUCAAACUUGAAGUCUAGAGUGCAGGAGAGGAGAAUGGAAUUCCUAGUGUAGCGGUGAAAUGCGUAGAGAUUAGGAAGAACACCAGUGGCGAAGGCGAUUCUCUGGACUGUAACUGACACUGAGGCACGAAAGCGUGGGGAGCAAACAGGAUUAGAUACCCCGGUAGU
rnacentral:rRNA from 1 species